rnacentral:misc_RNA from 1 species
GAUGAGGAACGUAGCGAAAUGCGAUAAGUAGUGUGAAUUGCAGAAUUCAGUGAAUCAUCGAAUCUUUGAACGCACAUUGCGCCCGCCAGUAUUCUGGCGGGCAUGCCUGUUCGAGCGUCAUUUCAACCCUCAGGCCCCCAGUGCCUGGUGUUGGGGAUCGGCCCAGCCUUCCUGUAAGGCCGCCGGCCCCGAAAUCUAGUGGCGGUCUCGCUGUAGUCCUCCUCUGCGUAGUAGCACAACCUCGCAGUUGGAACGCGGCGGUGGCCAUGCCGUUAAACACCCCACUUCUGAAAGUUGACCUCGGAUCAGGUAGGAAUACCCGCUGAACUUAAGCAUAUCAAUAAGCGGAGGA